rnacentral:tRNA from 1 species
GCGGAUGUGGUGGAACUGGUAGACACGCACGCUUGAGGGGCGUGUGGCCUUAGUGCCAUGCGAGUUCGAAUCUCGCCAUCCGCA